rnacentral:tRNA from 1 species
GCCCAGGUGGCGGAAUUGGCAGACGCACCGCUUUGAGGUGGCGGCGAGUAACAUCGUGCAGGUUCAAAUCCUGUCCUGGGCA